UUUAUAUAAAUAUAUAUCAUAACUUAAAUAUAAAUAAUUUAACAACUUAAAUUAGAAAAAAAUAAAAAUCCUGGGCGUAGUCCGGGUUAAUUCCUAGUACAAUAGAUAAAAAGAGAAUAAGAUCAACAUCUAAACUGUCCACGUAGGACUAAAAAAUCAACCAAUAAAAAAGAGUUAUUUUCCCAUGUCAUAAGAGCUUUGUUCGAAAAUGAUAAAUACCGAGACUUUCGUGUUGGCUAUUCGCCCAGUCAAGCCAAUUUCUGGAAAUGGCUCACAAACUUUCUCUUCUCAGUUUCGGAUCCCUGCAAUUCUUCAUUACCACAACAAUUCCUUUGUCAAUCAAUUAUCUUUUACUCCUUUCUUUAUGGUUUCUUUUCACCUCCCUAUUAUCUUUUCCUAUAAAAAUCGUUUCUUCCAAACUUUAAUUCGAAAAACCUCCACUAAUGAAGGUAAAGCUAUGGCCAUGAAAAAUAAAUAAUUCAGAGUCUGUUGCUCUUCCUCUACUCUUCAUACCCGGUAAUCAAACCCCACAGUAUUCAUAGCUAUAGAGAACGGCGAAAUCCACCGCCACAGCCCCGGCUCAAUUUAUAAGGAUGUGAUCGUUUACCAUCAAGUUUGCUUGCUUACAUGGUUGCAGCUUCAUAACUCGUGCCAUGUUUGUCAUACGAGUUCAUGACUCAUGGAGGUCAGACCAGUGGGGAAGACGGACAACGAACGGUUGAGAGUUCGCCGACGCCGAGGAGACAUGAUACGAAUUAGGAUUCUGGGAGUGGAUCUGAUAUCGAUACUACAUAAGAUGAAUUGGAUUGAGAAAUUCAUGGCAUACAAUGAAAUUCUCAAAACAUUUGAAGAUCAAGAGGAGUUAAAAGAGGUUUGACCUUCAAAUGCUAGCAAGAAGGCGGAUCAAUGGGUAGCUUUUCGAAUAUACUCUGUAGACAUUCCUUUUACCUGUUCUUCUCUCCAAUAUUUGUGUUGCCACUUGCCAGUGUUAACAAUGGGUUAUGGAAAUGGGGAAGAAGCUCGCAGAGAGGAUAAGGAGCAAAGGGCCUUAUAUUGUCCUGAGUGUAUCUAAUUGUGGCUUUGAAAAUUCAUUUUCUACACCGAAGAAAAGAAGAAGCCAGUGACUGUUUUAACGUUUUGUUGUCUUCUAAGCUCUGUAAAUGUUUAUAAAACUGGUGUUUGAUGAUUAUGUGCCUCACAUUGUUUUUAUUUUUAUGGAUAGGUUGAAUCCCAGCUCACUGAAUAAAAAAAAAAUACCCAACUCCGUAUUUUCGAAUGGUCUUACAUAACUGUCUCCACUGGGAUCAGUGGCCUUAUGCUACUGUCGAUAUACUACAGAUUCCACCAACGCCAUAUCUACAAAGCCAAAAAGGAGGAAGAUGAACAUGACGACUUGAAGCCAGCCUCUAUCGCUGGGGGUGGAAACUGCAGCAAAUCAUAGUAGACACUACAAGGGGAGUCAUUCACCAAUGAUGUUUUAUCGUUACAUGGAUUCCAGUUUUAUUCAUUUGAAACUCUGGUUGAAGCAAAAGAAGUUUUCUUUUCUGUUACAAAGCUUUCCCAAUCUAAAGACACUGGUUUGGGAGAGAACGGUUUACUUGACCAUAAAGGAACUUUCUCCAUCAGUUGCUAAGGUUCAUAGUUUGCAAUUUGCUUAGGUGGCUGAAUCCUAACACCAAUACUGAAGAAAAGAAGAGAAAGAAGAAAAACUUACAAGGCUAAAAGAUGUUAAGGGUCAUUAAAAGGAUAAAUCACUGCAAGAGCAUCAUUUCGAAGUAUUGGACUUAACGUGUGUUUUUUUUUUUUUAUCUUGGGAGUAUUCCUUAUGUACUGCUAUUAGAUUACAUUGAUAAGAUAAGAAAUGUAUUUCUUAAUUUGUUUUACCAGUGCCAACAAUCACAAAAUUAUAAUUUGUUCUUCUUCUUUCAGAUUCUAAUGAUUGGUUGUUAUUUGAGUUAUUGUGAUUUUCAGUAGGGAUGUUUAAAUGAAGAUAGAAUCUAACAAGUCAGUGUCGGAGGUUAAUAAUGAAAUUGAGAGUGAGGAUGGUAGUGAAUAAGUUUGUAGUUGAUCAUUUUAAAUUACGUUUUAUUGUGUAUAAUCAAAUUCAUGAUGAUAACGGUGACCAAGGUUGAAAUUUGUAGCAUGAGUACAUAUGGUUGAUCUCUUUGUCUUCUUUAUGUUUUCGUAAAAUUGUUAUGGGAAUGAGUAAAAGAGAGUGUUUUUCUUUAUUAUU